GCACUAUGUUUAGUACCAGCCGGAGCGAGGCAGCCAGCCGCUGCCCCCCGUGUGUUAGAAAUGUCCCGUAGCUCACCAUGGAGAAUCGGGAUUUAAUUUCGUUUCCCCUGGCUCCUCCGGGCCUUACCCUGCCAGCACAGCUGCCACACAGCUCCUCCAUCUAGAAACCUGGCAGCCGUCCCAGCUGGAUGCCACCUGCCAACACUUUUCUGAAGACCAGCCAGAGGAGGAAAGAACAGGAGGGCAGCAGGCUGAGGAGGGAGGGAAGAGAAGACGCACAACGAAUUGCAUUGGCCUUUAGCCCCCUUCCAUCUCAUACUCCCAGAGGUGGUGACAUACUUGUGUUCAGCAGCUAUCACUGGUCUUGCUUGUAAAAGUCCUGUUUGGCUGUGGACAUGCUUUCCUGAGUGCUGCGAGUCUCUGGAAUUACCCUAAUCUUCCUCUUCGCUUUGCAGUUAUGAAGAAGUGGGAACACCCCACUGGCUGGAAUGGUGGCCUCCCAUGCAGAAGAGGGUUAACUAAUUUAGUUUUCCCAGUUGGGAUACCACAACGUUAGCAUGCGGAUUUAUCUUGAAACCAGGAAGCCCUGACAUACAUUGCCGCCCAAACAAGAGGAAUCGAGCAUUUUGUCCUAUAAUGAGACAACAAAGGAGCAUCGCUCCAGAAGACAUCUGUCCUGAUCAUUGCAAAGAGCCUAAGGCUAGGCUCUGAGAAAGGGCACCCACUGCCUUCAAGUUCUUCUGGAGAUUCUGUUCUACAUUUCUUCACAUCUCCUUGACUGAAAUUUCCAGUGCAUUUAUGUUAUGGACUGAAUGUUUAUGUCCCGCUCCGUCAGAAUUCACAUGUUGAAGGCCUAACCCCAACAUAACCAUAUUUCAAAAUAGGGUAGGGCCCUGAUCCAAUCGGAUUAGUAUCCUUAUAAAAAAGACACCAUCAGAAUGCUCUCUGGACUCUCUCUCCCCCUUCCUCUCUCCCUCUCUCUAGCAUAAGCAAGAAAAGAUCAUGUGAGCAUACAGCAAGAUGGUGGCCAUCUAUUAGCCAAGAAAAGAGGCCUCAGAAUGAAACCUACUUUGCCAGCACCCUGAUCUAGGGCCUUCAGCCUCCAGAACUGCGAGAAAAUACCUGUUGUUUAAAGCAUCCAGUUUAUAGCAUUUUCUUAUGGCAUCCCAGACGAAGACAAUCCCCCGGCAAUGUUUUCCCAUGAACACUGGGACAAUUGCUGGUGCCACCCACCCUCUAAGGAAUGCUUGGUGUCCCCACAUGUGUGUAUGAUUGGAGAGAUCUUGGCUGGCACCUCUAAGGGGCCCAUAUCACCACAGCUUUGGUAAUAGAGUAUGGGAAACUAUACCCUCAGUAUUCAGAUUCAGGGUGGCCAGAUCAGAGCAUGGGCUCACCUGCUAACACUCACGCUGGAAGGAAGUCUGGCAUCUCAGUGCCCUGCGGCUGCAUUUUUAAAGGUCCCCCACAGAUUCGAAGGAAAUCCCAAAGAGACUGAAACAAGUAAUAUCACUUAAUGAAUUUCUUUUAAGUCCUGGUAACUGGUGUCCUUGGAUCCACGUCUAUUUAUUCUGGGAACUUGAUACAGGAUCUUGUUUUCGUGGCUGCUGUAGAAGAUAUCAAAAUAGCUUCUGCGCGUCGCUCCAGAUUUCAAGCACACCCCCCCGACCUCAGUCGGACGCUGUGGAAGUAGAUGAGAUGACAUACACAAGAAUGUUAAGGGCGCUUGGGUGGAGAAGUUCUGUAUGACCUGAAGGCAGCAUUACUAUUAAUGACAGUGAACGUGGUCACUUUCUCUUGGUGCAGCCAGUGGCUAGAGCAGAGGUUAUUUGGGGGCAAUGGAAAGUUAUCCAGGUAAUAGCUUGGGAAAGGGGGUAAACUCAAAUUUCAGAAUGGGAGAACGUGCUAGAAAAUUUCUUCAGUAUGAGCACUGAAGUGGUGUUGAAACCAUUGCCACCUUCAGAAACAGUGAUUUAUGGGUAAAAUUGUCAGAGUUGGUGUGGCUCACAAGAUUGCAGAGUAAACAGAGACAUACAAAGUCAUCAUAAAGAGAGAUUCAUAUCAAUGGACCUGAUUUGACUACUUUGAAGGUUUCUGAUUUGUAUAAUCUGGGACUUUGAUUUACAAAUCCAUUUCCUUGGGACAGUUUUAUUUUGUGUAGUACACGUGGGAUUGAUAAUCCUUAAAGAGCUUCUUCUGAGAGAAUGAGGAAAAGCCCCUCCAUAUACCGUUGGUGGAAAUGUGAAAUGGUAUAAAUUCUCUGGAAAGUGAUUAUGGAAUAUCUAGCCAAAUUAAAAAUGCAAAAAUACUAUGACACAGCCAUUCCAUGUUAGGUGUAAAUUCUGCACACGUACUAGCAUAAAGGGCCAUGUGGCUAUAUCAUACCCAAACCAUGGAUUCAACCUCCAUCCUCCACAGCAGAGCACAGGUGACGUAGAUUAUAGCCACCAUCAGACACCGCACAGUUGUUAAGAAGAAUGAGGUACAUCCACGUAUGAAGAUUUGGAAUAACCCAUAUAGCAUGUUAGCUGAGAAAAAAGCAAGCUACACGGUAGUGUACACAGUAUGCUUCCACUUAUGAAAAUAUUGAUAUAUGCAUGGAAAAUUACCAGAAGGGUACACCAGAAAUUAUUAACAGGUGUAUCAAGGCUGGAGGUCUGGACCUUGAGAGCAGCUCACUUUUCAUUAGGUCUUCUUCUUCUUUUUUUUUUUUUAAGAUUUUAUUUAUUUAUUUGACAGAGAGAGAGACAGCCAGAGAGAGAGACAGCCAGCAAGAGAGGGAACACACGCAGGGGGAGUGGGAGAGGAAGA